UCCAAGGCUAAAUACUCCUGACUGACCGAUAGUGAACCAGUACCGUGAGGGAAAGGCGAAAAGAACCCCGGCGAGGGGAGUGAAAAAGAACCUGAAACCGUGUACGUACAAGCAGUGGGAGCACCUUUAUGGUGUGACUGCGUACCUUUUGUAUAAUGGGUCAGCGACUUAUAUUCUGUAGCAAGGUUAACCGUAUAGGGGAGCCGCAGGGAAACCGAGUCUUAACUGGGCGUUAAGUUGCAGGGUAUAGACCCGA
rnacentral:rRNA from 1 species